rnacentral:tRNA from 1 species
GCACUGGUGGUUCAGUGGUAAAAUUCUCAUCUUCCAUGCAGGAGACCUGGGUUCGAUUCCUGACCAGUGCA